rnacentral:rRNA from 1 species
GACAAACGCUGGCGGCGUGCUUAACACAUGCAAGUCGAACGGAAAGGCCCUGCUUUUGUGGGGUGCUCGAGUGGCGAACGGGUGAGUAACACGUGAGUAACCUGCCCUUGACUUUGGGAUAACCUCAGGAAACUGGGGCUAAUACCGGAUAGGAGCUCCUGCUGCAUGGUGGGGGUUGGAAAGCUUCGGCGGUUGGGGAUGGACUCGCGGCUUAUCAGCUUGUUGGUGGGGUAGUGGCUUACCAAGGCUUUGACGGGUAGCCGGCCUGAGAGGGUGACCGGCCACAUUGGGACUGAGAUACGGCCCAGACUCCUACGGGAGGCAGCAGUGGGGAAUAUUGCACAAUGGGCGGAAGCCUGAUGCAGCAACGCCGCGUGCGGGAUGACGGCCUUCGGGUUGUAAACCGCUUUCGCCUGUGACGAAGCGUGAGUGACGGUAAUGGGUAAAGAAGCACCGGCUAACUACGUGCCAGCAGCCGCGGUGAUACGUAGGGUGCGAGCGUUGUCCGGAUUUAUUGGGCGUAAAGGGCUCGUAGGUGGUUGAUCGCGUCGGAAGUGUAAUCUUGGGGCUUAACCCUGAGCGUGCUUUCGAUACGGGUUGACUUGAGGAAGGUAGGGGAGAAUGGAAUUCCUGGUGGAGCGGUGGAAUGCGCAGAUAUCAGGAGGAACACCAGUGGCGAAGGCGGUUCUCUGGGCCUUUCCUGACGCUGAGGAGCGAAAGCGUGGGGAGCGAACAGGCUUAGAUACCCUGGUAGUCCACGCUGUAAACGGUGGGUACUAGGUGUGGGGUCCAUUCCACGGGUUCCGUGCCGUAGCUAACGCUUUAAGUACCCCGCCUGGGGAGUACGGCCGCAAGGCUAAAACUCAAAGGAAUUGACGGGGCCCCGCACAAGCGGCGGAGCAUGCGGAUUAAUUCGAUGCAACGCGUAGAACCUUACCUGGGUUUGACAUGGAUCGGGAGUGCUCAGAGAUGGGUGUGCCUCUUUUGGGGUCGGUUCACAGGUGGUGCAUGGCUGUCGUCAGCUCGUGUCGUGAGAUGUUGGGUUAAGUCCCGCAACGAGCGCAACCCUUGUUCACUGUUGCCAGCACGUUAUGGUGGGGACUCAGUGGAGACCGCCGGGGUCAACUCGGAGGAAGGUGGGGAUGACGUCAAGUCAUCAUGCCCCUUAUGUCCAGGGCUUCACGCAUGCUACAAUGGCUGGUACAGAGAGUGGCGAGCCUGUGAGGGUGAGCGAAUCUCGGAAAGCCGGUCUCAGUUCGGAUUGGGGUCUGCAACUCGACCUCAUGAAGUCGGAGUCGCUAGUAAUCGCAGAUCAGCAACGCUGCGGUGAAUACGUUCCCGGGGCU